GAUGAACGCUGGCGGCGUGCUUAACACAUGCAAGUCGAACGGGAAACAUUUCAUUGAGGCUUCGGCGGAUUUGAUCUGUUUCUAGUGGCGGACGGGUGAGUAACGCGUGGGUAACCUGCCUUAUACUGGGGGAUAACAGCCAGAAAUGACUGCUAAUACCGCAUAAGCGCACAGAACCGCAUGGUUCGGUGUGAAAAACUCCGGUGGUAUAAGAUGGACCCGCGUUGGAUUAGCUAGUUGGCAGGGCAGCGGCCUACCAAGGCGACGAUCCAUAGCCGGCCUGAGAGGGUGAACGGCCACAUUGGGACUGAGACACGGCCCAGACUCCUACGGGAGGCAGCAGUGGGGAAUAUUGCACAAUGGGGGAAACCCUGAUGCAGCGACGCCGCGUGAAGGAAGAAGUAUCUCGGUAUGUAAACUUCUAUCAGCAGGGAAGAUAAUGACG
rnacentral:rRNA from 1 species